rnacentral:tRNA from 2 species
GGGGCUAUAGCUCAGCUUGGAAGAGCGCUUGACUGGCAGUCAAGAGGUCAGGGGUUCGAUCCCCCUUAGCUCCACCA